rnacentral:rRNA from 1 species
UACGUAGGGUCCGAGCGUUGUCCGGAAUUAUUGGGCGUAAAGGGCUCGUAGGCGGUUUGUCGCGUCGGGAGUGAAAACUCAGGGCUCAACCCUGAGCGUGCUUCCGAUACGGGCAGACUAGAGGUAUGCAGGGGAGAACGGAAUUCCUGGUGUAGCGGUGGAAUGCGCAGAUAUCAGGAGGAACACCGGUGGCGAAAGCGGUUCUCUGGGCAUGACCUGACGCUGAGGAGCGAAAGCAUGGGGAGCGAACAGG